GUAGGUGGCAAGCGUUGUCCGGAAUUAUUGGGCGUAAAGCGCGCGCAGGCGGUCCUUUAAGUCUGAUGUGAAAGCCCACGGCUCAACCGUGGAGGGUCAUUGGAAACUGGGGGACUUGAGUACAGAAGAGGAAAGCGGAAUUCCAAGUGUAGCGGUGAAAUGCGUAGAGAUUUGGAGGAACACCAGUGGCGAAGGCGGCUUUCUGGUCUGUAACUGACGCUGAGGCGCGAAAGCGUGAGGAGCAAACAGGGAUUAGAUACCCUGGUAGUCCACGCCGUAAACGAUGAGUGCUAAGUGUUAGGGGGGGUUCCGCCCCCUUAGUGCUGCAGCUAACGCAUUAAGCACUCCGCCUGGGGAGUACGGCCGCAAGGCUG
rnacentral:rRNA from 1 species